rnacentral:rRNA from 1 species
AUGGCAAUGAUCAGUCCUGCCGCCGCCACUGUCGUCGCUGCCAGGCCGGGGCAGGCUCUAGGGCUGCCUCAGCUUAGGGUGACCAGGGCCGAGAGGCUGAGGUGCGGCUGCUCCAAGGACCGCAAGGAGGCGGCAGCGGCGAGUCCGGCGGUCGUGAAGGGCGUGCCGCUGCUGGCCGCGGCGAGCGCAGCCGUUACGGCGGCGGCCCCGGCGCUGGCGCUGGUGGACGAGCGGAUGUCGACGGAGGGCACGGGGCUGAGCCUGGGGCUGAGCAACAACCUGCUGGGGUGGAUCCUGCUGGGCGUGUUCGGCCUCAUCUGGUCCCUCUACACCGUCUAUUCCUCCACCCUGGACGACGACGACGAGUCCGGCGGCCUCUCCCUCUGA